CCGCUCGGCCGGAGCCCCCCGCGGGUCCGGCGGAGCCCCCCGGAGUGGCAGAGCCCCCCGCUUCCCUCCGGGAAGACCCCCCCCGUCCCCGUAGCCCCCCUCGGGAAGUUGUCAGCGGGCCCCCCGGCGCCCCUCACCUUGGUUGGCGGCUCCGUGGCCGCCGUCGGCGGGGCGCGCAGUCAGCAGGGGGAGGAAGAGGCCGAGUCUCCAGAGCAGCCCCCUCGCCUCACGACACCCCAUGGCUGGUCCCCGCCGGGCUCCCCUCGUCCUCGGCCCGCCGAGGCGCCCUCCCCGUCCUCCUUCAGGCCAGCGGGGGACGCCGGGGGGGCCCCCCGAGCGCCCGCCGCCCCGCCGGGCUCCGGCGCAUCCACCGGCGGGGUCCCGGGGCACGGCGGCGGGCGGCGGUGCCGGCAGCCCCCGUGCCGCCCUUCCGAGGGGGGCGGCGGCGCCGGGAGAGCUCCGGCAACCGGGAGAGCCCCGGCGGCAGGGAGCGAGCGAGCCCCGGCAACUUCGAGGCGGCGGCGGCGGGGGUCGCGCCCCGCUCCUCCCGGCGCCCUCAGCCCCGCAGAGGCUCCUUCGGCGGCUCCGUCCUCGGCGGCUCCUUCAGCGGCUCCGUCCUCGGCUGCCCCCUCCGCCGUCCCCGCCGCGCGGGGCCCCGCAUCCCCGGCCGGAGGCAGCGCCGAGGGGCUUCAGUUUGCCAUGGCGAAGGGUCCUGCCCCGCCGCCGGGGGCGGGGAGGGGAGAGAAGAGGAUAGGAGAGGAGAGAAGAAGAGGAGAGCAGAGCAGAGCAGAGGGGCCGGCCGCCUCCUCACGCUCCCCGGGGCAUCAGCGCAAGUUGCGCGGCGGCAUCCCCGGCCGCUCCGCCGCCGUGCCCCGGCUCCCUCUGCGCCUCUCUCCCCCCGUCUCCGGCUGCCUCGGCGGAGGGGCGAUCAGAGCGCGGGGCGGCUCCGCCGCUCUCUCCCGCUGCGCCUCGCCGCGGUUUUUGGGGCGCCGCUGCUCCCCCGCCGCCCGCCGAGCGAUGGCGGGGCCGCCCCGCUGCGCCCAGCCCGGCCCGGCCCGGCGGCUGCCGGGUCCCCGGGAGGCCAGCGCGGCCCCCCGGCAACCAAACGGCGCGGGGGGAGCCGUG
rnacentral:lncRNA from 1 species